rnacentral:lncRNA from 10 species
UGGCUUCUGAGCUCAGGGUACCAGGAGGGAUCUUACAAAGACUCCAGGUGUUAGAAGGCCAUAGAUUUGGAAACACUUUACAAAACUGCAAGUUAUCAACGUUUCUAGGUAUAUUUUUGAUUAAGUAAAAAAACCCCAAAUUUACACCGAACAUAUUUAUAAAUAGUUGCACUGUAUUUUUAGUUUUUAGGUUUUUUUGUUUUGUUUUGUUUUGUUUUCUACAGGGAUGUGCCACCAUUCCUGGCUAUUUUUUUAUUAUUAUUAUUAUUUUUUUUUUUUUUUUGAAGAGAUGAGGGUCUUGCUGUGUUGCGCAAGGCUGGGGAGGCCUCAGGAAACUUAUAAUCAUGGUGGAAGGUGAAGGGGAAGCAAGGCCAUCAUCCAGUUACCUCCACCUGGUCUCUCUCUUACACGAGGGGAUUAUGGGGAUUAUAAUUCAAGAUGAGAUUUGGGUGGGAACACAAAGCCUAACCAUAUCAUUCUGCCCCCAAGAUGCAAUGAGGGUACAGGCAUUGGGUAAAUGUUCCCAUUCUAAAUGGGAGAAAUUGGCCAAAACAAAGGGGACACAGGUCCCAUUCAAGUCUGAAAUCUCUAAAAUGUUAUACUUUGAAAAUGUAUGUUCCCUUAACUGCAAAAUAAGGUGAAUAUAGGAUAAAAAAAUAGUAAGACGCUAUAUAUGACGACUCACAAUGUCACUAUUAAAAGGCCAAUAGUGGUAAAAUUUAACUUUAAAGUCAUAUAAUAUGAUCACGAUAUAGGGUUUUGAAUUAUACACUUUCUUGUUUCCUACUUCAAAUGCAGUACUUUGCACAUACGGAGAAUUAAUGUUGCACAUUGCUUUUCAUAUGAAUUUCUUCAAUCGGAAUUUAAUUAGGCACCCUUUUGUUGAGUACAUGGAAUUGUGUGGAACUAAAGGAAGACCUGGAUAAGUCCUAAUCCAAAAGCUAUUCUCGUCUAAUUCAACUUUCUGUGAAUAAAAAUAUCUCAAAAGCAUUUCAUCUACACAGCUUCUCUGCUCUAAACAAUUUACAGGUUCAGCAGGAACCAGGCAUAAAUCUCACUGCAUUUUUUUAAAACAAUGAAACCUCUUUACUUGGUUCAUUUUCUUUUGUCUCCUCAAUUAAAGCACACCUUCUGAUAUAUUACAUGUUCCUUCCCUUUAAAUACUGUACACACACAGUCUGACAUAGAUUUUUCUUCUUGCCUUGCUGGAAAGCUUGUCCUGUUUUCUCCAAACUAGAUAAAGUUCACUCAGAUGUGCUUACGGGCGCCUCCCUCCCCUCAGUGCCCUCCCAACCCUGGAUGCCUUUCUGUCCUCCUCCAUAUUCUUGGGUGGGCAGGAACCUGGGGAGAUGCAGCCACCAGGCAGCUUGCUACUCUCCUGAAGCACAUCUGGGCUUUAUAUUAGGCCUUUAAUUAAUCCUCAGUGAAAGCCAAGCUAUGACAUUUUGACUGGGCAGGCUCCAGUUCUGGACAGGUCUUGAUUUAUUGCGACUGAGUCCCAACCAACUUUGAUUUAUUUCAGCUUAGGGGAGGAAGGCAAGCUUGGAACAGAAAAGCGCUGUUGAAUGUUGAGCACGUGAUGUCAGGACAGGCCCUCCAGACUUCCAGGGGCACGGGACAAGCGGUUCAGAAGAGAAUGGCUUCUGAGAAAGCCAUUUUAAAACCCUAAGAUUUAAAUAACACGAAAUUGUACCAGACAAAAUAAAUGUAAUCACAGAGGAGAGAAAAUGGCUCCUGAAACAGUUGGCUGAUUGUGGCAGGGUAGGAAGCCCCAGCCUUAUCUCUGGGAAAAGGAGGAAACCCUGGGGGCCUUACUGUUAAUCAGGACUCUCAUUUGCAUUCGGGGGCUGCUCUGUGUGGCCGUCUGUCCUUCCUGAGAGCAAAGGCCAGGAGGACUGCCCCCUCCUCGGCAACACCAACAACUGAUAGUCCAUUAAAUGAGAGCAGAUUUCCUUUUUGCAGGCAGACAGAAUAAGUCAAAAGAAGGCAAAGUUACUCCAUUAAGCAAAGACAAAAGGGUCAGUCCAUUUAACGAACGAAUUUGUUUCCUUUCCGGCCAGGCUUUCCUGACAGAGCCGAUAGUAGAGUGCUGUGCUCACUGCUGUGUCCUUGAGCGUGGGUUGUCAGAACAGUGACUCGCCGGCUCCCACACCAGCAAUGCGCAGUACCUUCCUGUUGGCCAAGUUAGGGCUCAGGGUGGUGCCCACUUAAUACCUCACUGCAGGCUUCACUGGGCCUAGCAUGAUGCCUCGCACAUAGCCAGGAGCCCCCAGCACAGCAGCUUUGACUGCUGACAAAGCCCUGUUCCCUCCUUGGGGGUGGCAGAAGGAGUGCAUGAGAUGGACCUGUCCCCAGUGUCACAUGGUUGACAAAGGGCAACGUCAACAAUUCUCAGAGGCAACGUUAAGUUCCUUAAAAGGGAGAUAAUGGUAGGAAAAAUGUGUUGCAAAACAAAGAAGAGGGGAAGCAGAAGAAAGGGGAUAAGGGCAGAAAAGAUGGAUAGAGGUAGCAUGGCCCAAGCAAGUAAGAACAGCACAAGCUCUGGCAUCCAUGACAUGAGAUCCAAACUCCAUCCCAGCGACUUACCUGCAUGUGCUCUGUGCAAGCUA